UACGAAGGGGGGCUAGCGUUGCUCGGAAUCACUGGGCGUAAAGCGCACGUAGGCGGCUUUCUAAGUCAGGGGUGAAAUCCUGGAGCUCAACUCCAGAACUGCCUUUGAUACUGGAGAGCUUGAGUCCGGGAGAGGUGAGUGGAACUCCGAGUGUAGAGGUGAAAUUCGUAGAUAUUCGGAAGAACACCAGUGGCGAAGGCGGCUCACUGGCCCGGUACUGGACGCUGAUGUGCGAAAGCGUGGG
rnacentral:rRNA from 1 species